rnacentral:rRNA from 1 species
UACGUAGGGUCCGAGCGUUGUCCGGGAUUAUUGGGCGUAAAGAGCUCGUAGGCGGUUUGUCGCGUCUGCUGUGAAAUCCCGAGGCUCAACCUCGGGUCUGCAGUGGGUACGGGCAGACUGGAGUGCGGUAGGGGAGAAUGGAAUUCCUGGUGUAGCGGUGGAAUGCGCAGAUAUCAGGAGGAACACCGAUGGCGAAGGCAGUUCUCUGGGCCGUAACUGACGCUGAGGAGCGAAAGCGUGGGGAGCGAACAGG